AAAUGAAUAACCAGAUGCGGUCUGCCGAAGUUAUUAUCGGCGUUUAUCAGGAAUUCGGUGAGAAUCCGAAACAGUCUAUCUCUACUGUAAAAGGGACGAACGCAGCAUUGGCCACUGAAAUAAUGAUUUGGGAAGGCGCUGUCAGUAGGAGGAACUUGAGUCAGGAUAUUGGACGCAUUGUGUGGAGGUUA
rnacentral:ncRNA from 2 species